GCCCAAUGCUUGCCCAAAUCGAACCCUCUAGAGUCCAGACCCAUCCUCCUCCUCCUCCGCCGCCGCCACCGCAGCCGCCGACAAGAGCCCCUCUGUCCUCGACAGCGCCCUCCACCGCCGACCCCCUCCGCCGACCUGGUGACCCCCACUGAGAUCGAUGCCGCCGGUGCGUCGAGAUCGGCCUCGCCUCCGUCCACACGGAUCUGGUGUACGUGGUCAACGUCGUCUCGCUCCCUGCGGCACCACCCUAGGACAGGUCGACGGCGCCUGUGCGUUGAGGUCGACGUCGCCUUGAUCCCCAGCACGAGAUCCGGCGACGAACUCCGGGCCUCUUGUCUCAAGUUAGCCGUGCCACCCCACGCCAUCGCGCUGCUCUUCUCCGCGACCCUCCACGCGGACGAGCGCUAUCGGGCUCCCCACCAUGUCUCUUACCACACCGACGGCGACCGCGGUGCCUGCUCCCCACUACGCUAGUACAACAUGUUGCUCAGAUCUGUCAUGGUGAAACGCGAUGCAGAUUUUCCCUCCCUUCCACCGAAUUACUACUGGGCUCCAAGUCUUUCUCAUUGCUGCCUCUGUAUUUUGCUUCCAAAUUGUUGCAGGUGCUAUCAGUGAAAGGAUUGGGGACUGGUUCUAGCAGUGGUAGGUUUGUUCCAGGAAUUCAUAAUGCUCAUGAUUUGCCACACUCAUGGCACUUACUACUUAAAAUGUUUCUCCAUUUAAUCAAGCAAGAAUAGUUCUUCGAAACAUUUUAUCGUUUUAAUCUUCAGACAUCUUGGUAGGAAGCAGCAUGGAAUGUUUGCAGUUUUAGUUUAGAUUGUACAUAAAGGCCUCUAGAUAUGUUCUCUGUCAGUCAAAACUUCUAAAAUGAUCUAUGCACCAUGGCAGUGGAUACUUCUAAAUGACUGCAACAUGUUCUAGUAAGUCUUAUUAGUAUAGGACGUUCAAUAAUCUUUCGGUGCUAAACAAGUGGAUGCUACAACUUAAUACUAAAUCAGUAAAACACUUUGGGAGUACUACAUGGACAAAAAGGUAUUUGUAUUGUGCUGUUUAUCCCCAUUGGUUGAUCGAUGUGAGAUCAUCUAGUUCAACUGUCAUCACACACAUAUACUACUACAUGGAAGAAAACAACUAGCUAGAGAACUUGUUUACGCCUCCUUUCAUUUUGCUGCAAGACAGACUGAAAGUGGACCACUCUUCUAGAGUUUAAAUGGUACUCCCUCUGUCCCAUAAUGUAAGUAUUGUCAAAAAACGUCUUACAUUAUGAGACGGAGGUAGUAUAAUAUGUUGGUUUUCUACGGUUCCUUUAUCUCCAAUCUAGUUUUUACUCAAUAUAAGUUACUAUUUCAUAAGAAUAACAUGAAGCACUGAUUCUUAUAUGUUCCAUGUAUUAUGACAUGACAAGUAGUCACUAGCAGCUAAGCAAAGGCUACAACAUGCUCGGAGGAGAAGUUUGAAUGGAGGCAGGGAAUACACUUUUUUCUGUGAAUGCAGAGAAUACACUUUGUAAGGCAUAUAUCCAACCUGAACUUCUUGUACUCUGUUGAGCCCUUGGGUCUUGUGAACCCGUAUUCAUGUGCCGUAUAGAAUACUUGCACGUGCAACUCCCUAAGAAACCAAAACAAUUUGAUGUUUCCUGUGAGGUGGUAAAGAAAAUUAACCACACACUUAAAAAACAACAUGUGUGUACUAGUAGUAUCGCGUACAUGCUGGAGCUACUAGAUUAGUACGUACCCCCUCCGUUCCUAAAUAUUUGUCUUUCUAGAGAUUUCAACAAGUGACUACAUACAGAGCAAAAUAAGUGAAUCUACACUUUAAAAUAUGUCUAUAUACAUCCGUAUGUUAUAGUCCAUUUGAAAUCUCUAAAAAGACAAAUAUUUAGGAACGGAGGGAGUACAUGGUUGUUAAGAUGAGGCUGCAUGCAUCACUUAAAAAAAGAGAUGAUUAGUACGUACUUGUAGCAAGCAUCCCAGCUAGCUAGCUACUUACAUUUUAAUCUGCAUCCAUUUUAGUCCAUUUUAGUCUGCAUCCAUUUUAGGUCAUUUUAGUAAACAACAAAAUCAGGUGAAAUGAGAAUACGGAGGAGAAAUGAAAUAGCCUACAUCCAUUUUAAUCCAAUAGCAAUUUUGCCAAAGGUGACCAUGGCAAACAUUUUAUCCUGUUAAUUACAAGCACAUUAUUUGAACGAGCGCUUUUAUUGUUGGUGGCUUAUUUUUAUGCCCAACAAGUUGGGUGCUUUUCUUAAUGGGUAGGUCAUAACCUCAACCUUCAGGUUACUAUAAACAAGUUUGGAACGACAGAAAUAUCUGAUUUGUUACUAUUACUAGAAUGAAACGCGUUGUGUACAACUGUACAUCAGUCUGAUUCAAAUCCUUUUCAUCUCCAAUGAAUGAGCUUUGUACAACAUCAGCCUUGAUUUAGACUCCACGUACUGAAUAGGUUCAUUGCGUUCGUUGCUUCCGCCAAUGCCCAAUAGCAAGGGAAAUGAACAAGGCCUUAGAACACUUGCCCUUAUAUGAUGUAAAGAUUACAUUUUUAUUGGGCCAUCUUGUCCUUCAAGUACUAGUAGCAUGUUUAUGUUACAACAGCUUUAUUGUGCUAUGAGAGCUCUGUUUUGAAUUUCUGGUCUGUGCGGGUUUGCCAAAGAUACACUGGGUGAUCUACAAGCUUCUGAAGGUUUGGAUGAUCUACAAGUUAAGGCUUGGAUCACCUACAAGCUGUUGAAUGUUUGCAAGACCUACAAUUAAGUUGAUGGAGUGGUUAUGUAAUGUACCUUGUUUGUUGAACCUGGUGACAUUGGCACGUGCUGCUCAUUUUGGUGGUUGUUUUGGCACAUAAGCCACUGUAUGCUCUUUUUGGUUGGGUGACGCACCUAGAAACAUAUGUACUUCUCCCUUUGUGGCACCACUUCAUUUUUUACUGUGUGGCACACCUAGAAACAUAUAUGUGCUCCUUUUGUGGCACAACCUGUAUAUAUAUGGUUGUCAUGUUUCUUAAAUGAAGUUUAAGGUUUUUGAUGA